rnacentral:lncRNA from 1 species
UUCAGAUACCUCUUUCUUCCUCAGGGUAGAAACAUAUUGGAUCCCAGUUAGGCUUUUGAUACUUGCCUCCCUUGAUGUCUUCCACGUGAAACACUUGGUGGCCAGACCUUAAAGCUCGUUCACUAUUUUUCAUGGCCCUGUUGGAAGAUUUAGAUAUAGGUGUGCCACCACUUAUGGAAUAUAUCACAUUCAUCUGGCGUUGGUUACAGUUACCCCUUGGAGGGUGAAGGAGGAAUUGAUCAAUUUUUCCUUCACGUGUCAAAGCUUCAAUAUGGUCACGAAGGGUGAUAAACUUCUCGCCGUCAUGGCCGUUAU